rnacentral:rRNA from 1 species
AGAAUCAACGCUGGCGGCGUGCCUAACACAUGCAAGUCGAACGAGAAAGUGGAGCAAUCCAUGAGUAAAGUGGCGCACGGGUGAGUAACACGUGACUAACCUACCUUUUAGUGGGGGGAUAACCUAGGGAAACCUGGGCUAAUACCGCAUAAUACCUACGGGUCAAAGCAGCAAUGCGCUGGAAGAGGGGGUCGCGGCCGAUUAGCUAGUUGGCGGGGUAAUGGCCCACCAAGGCAGUGAUCGGUAUCCGGCCUGAGAGGGCGCACGGACACACUGGAACUGAAACACGGUCCAGACUCCUACGGGAGGCAGCAGUGGGGAAUUUUGCGCAAUGGGGGAAACCCUGACGCAGCAACGCCGCGUGGAGGAUGAAGACCCUUGGGUCGUAAACUCCUUUCGAUCGGGACGAUAAUGACGGUACCGGAAGAAGAAGCCCCGGCUAACUUCGCGCCAGCAGCCGC